rnacentral:tRNA from 2 species
GGCCCCUUAGCUCAGAUUGGUUAGAGCAGGCGACUCAUAAUCGCUUGGUCGCUGGUUCAAAUCCAGCAGGGGUCA